GGAUCGAUGGCGUAGUUGAUUAUCACGCUUGUCUAAUAUGUCAAGGUACACAGGUGGUCUUCAGUUCGAGUCUAGGUUGGUUCA